rnacentral:rRNA from 1 species
UACGUAGGGCGCAAGCGUUGUCCGGAAUUAUUGGGCGUAAAGAGCUCGUAGGCGGCUUGUCGCGUCGGUUGUGAAAGCCCGGGGCUUAACCCCGGGUCUGCAGUCGAUACGGGCAGGCUAGAGUGUGGUAGGGGAGAUCGGAAUUCCUGGUGUAGCGGUGAAAUGCGCAGAUAUCAGGAGGAACACCGGUGGCGAAGGCGGAUCUCUGGGCCAUUACUGACGCUGAGGAGCGAAAGCGUGGGGAGCGAACAGG